rnacentral:lncRNA from 1 species
AUGCCUCGCCCUGUGUGUGUCCGGGAUGGGUCUGCUUUGGUGCACUCCGACUUCUCCCUAAAAGCCCAGGGCGGGGAGACGGACGCCCUCCCGAGAGCCUCAGGACUGCCGGCCCCUCCCGCCCGCCUCGCGCCUCCCGCGCCUCGGAGGCCGCCGCCGCGGAGAGGCUGGCACAGCACGGUGGGCAGCGGUCCCCGCCGGGCAGGCCCCGCCCCCGGCUCCCCGGCCCCGCCCCCGGGCUCCCGUGGGGCGCCGCGGCUUCCGGCUGUGGGCCGCGCGGGCCGGAAGUAUAGCGUUGCCAUGGCGAGGGCCGGGCGCGGGACCCGCCCCCCCGGCGCCCAGAGGAGCGCGGGGCGGCGGGAGCGGUGGCCGGGAUCCGGCCGGCUGCGCGGCGGAAGGUGCGGCGCGGACUUCCGGGGCUCGCGGCGGGGGAGGGCGGGGGCGCGGGGUGCCCCCGGGUCGGGCGCGGCCGAUGUGCCUGCGGACUGGUGGUUCCUGCGACCUGCGGGUCAGGCUAGUGCAAGCCGCCUGCUGUCUGCAGCCUGACCAACCGCUCUUCGAAAGCAGGCCCUCCGGGAGACGUGGUUGCCAGGCCUGCCGUGCCCCUGGUACUCUGGCUGCUUAGACCGGCUCACACUGGGGCACUGGGGGCUGAGACCCCGGGACUCUGUGGGCACACCCUGCCCUGGCCUCUCUGGCUGCACCUCCUUGUUAGCACUGAUGUACUGACCCUGGUGGGAGAGGGGAGGGAAGGCCAGGGCAUGGCUGCUCCCCGGCCCCACCCAGGAUCCUGAGCCUGGAAGGUGAAGGGGCUUCCGGAACUCCCAAGGUCUCCCAGGGGCCUCUGCCCAUUGCCCUGCCCUCCCUUUGCCCUCACUGAAGUACCAGGACACUGCAACUUUGUUAUCUGGGUAAUUAGCUUCAGACCCUGGACUGAGGCUGGCCAGGUCCUGGGGUGCUUCCCACAGGUGCACCCUGACCCCAGGAGGGAGGUGAGGCCCUGCCCGUUGAGCAGCUGAGGUGCCAGGGCUCUUGAGAGGCAGGCUACCCUUCCUGCCUGGGGUCCGUGUCCUUCAGGAUUGCCUGGAGCCUCGUGACCCAGCCUUGCCAGGGGCAGAGGGCACCACCGAGCCUUAGGAAGGGGAUGCCCCCAAAGGUGCUGGUCCAACCAGCUGCCCCAGUGCACAGGCCCAGUUUGGCCCCUGUGCUCCCCCAUCUGGUGCCCCGUGCAGCCCCCCUGGCAGGUAGCCCCCGCCAUGGCCGAGCACCUGGAGCUGCUGGCAGAGAUGCCCAUGGUGGGCAGGAUGAGCACGCAGGAGCGGCUGAAGCACGCCCAGAAGCGACGUGCCCAGCAGGUGAAGAUGUGGGCCCAGGCUGAGAAGGAGGCCCAGGGCAAGAAAGGGCACCGGGAGCGGCCGUGGAAGGAGGCCCCCGGUGGCAGGCCGCAGAAGCGGGUCCUCUUCCCUCCCAGCGUCACCCUUCUGGAGGCUGCUGCCCGAAAUGACCUGGAGGAAGGUGAGCGUGGCCGAGCCCCAGGGCAGGCCCUGUCCCUGGCCCAGCCCCUGAGAGCCGUGAGGGCACAGUGCCGUCGUGUGGAGGCCCGGGGCAGGCCCGCCGCCCUCUACUGCAUGCUCUACGUGGUAGGCCGCCCACUGGAGGCUGGCCCCUGAUGGGGCCGCAUGCACAGGGUGCUGCUGCGGGGGUGAGGUUGGUGGGCAGGGGCACUGGGGAAGCCCCCAGGAGUCUGGAGAAGUGCCGGGGGCUCGGCUCAGGUGGGCUGGGAGUGGCCCAUAGUCUCCGCCGCCUCUUGCCAGGGCACUGGGCGAUGAUCAGGAGAGUCCUGGCCACCACCUGCUUGGGUCCUCAGUCUCCACCUCUGUAAAGGAGGACGGUAACACCCACCUCAGCAGGUUAGAGCGUGGGGGCAGGGGUCCCCCACAGGCCAGCCCGCGCGACACCUGCCUCAGGCCCUGUCUGACUUCUUCCUCCCCAUCAGGACCUCCCUGGCUAGAUGACAGGCCUGAGCUUUUGGCAGCCUCCUCAUUCCUCCCCUGCCCCCUGCGUGCUCACUGCUCUCGUGGAGAGGCUCUGGAGGGCUCUUCCUGGCUUCCUGCAGGGCAGAGGCUGGGGUGCAGAGGGCAAGGAGGGACGGGCAGUGCCUCAAGGCAAGGGAAAUAGGAGGGCGUGGUGGGUGUGCCCAGGCUAUGGCCCGGGGAACUGUGGGAAGGUGGGCGAGUUCUCCUCCUGCCUGUGGAGCGCCUGGGAGGGAGGGCCAGGCCACCAAGGAGGUCCAGGGUGACCUUGGCAGCAGCCUGGGCCUCCUGAAGAAUGAGGACAGGGGCUAGCUCUGCGGAGGGGCAGACCUUGAAGGGGCCGGACUGGACGCCCUGGGCCCACGCUGCAGGCUGCGGCGGGGCAGGAGGUUGCUCCGGGCGGGGCAUGUGUGGGAUGGAGGGCCCGGAGGCGCAUGGGAGGGUGGUGUUGGGGGGGCGCCGGAGCCCUGGCCAAAGUGGGAUCGAUGAGCCCAGGGGGGACUGCCCCACACGGGAGCCUGAGGGCUGGGGGUCCUCCAGGGGCUGGAGGCAGGGCACGCGGCGGACGCGCACUCGGGGCAGAUGGAAACCCAGUGCCCCGGCCCUUGAGCCUUCAGCCUGUGCUCGGGGUCCCUCUGGCCGCCUGACCGCAGUCCUCCUCGCCGUCCUCUGCCUCCAGCCGCAGUCCCGGGCACCCUGACCAAGCAGGGCUGGUCUGUGGCUGGACCUCUGCCUCUGCACCCUCACCACAUCCCGCUCCCCCCCUCACAGUCCGCCAGCUCCUCGACAGUGGGGUCAGCCCUGACCUGGCCAACGAGGAUGGCCUGACGGCCCUGCACCAGGUCAGCCAUGCGGGGAAUUGGGGAGGGGGGCGCACUGGCCCCGGACUCUGGCGC